rnacentral:rRNA from 1 species
UACGGAGGGUGCAAGCGUUGCUCGGAAUCACUGGGCGUAAAGCGUACGCAGGCGGUUCAGUAGGUCGGGUGUGAAAGCCCAGGGCUCAACCCUGGAACUGCAUUCGAAACCCCUGGACUUGAAUACGGGAGAGGAGAGCGGAAUUCCUGGUGUAGAGGUGAAAUUCGUAGAUAUCAGGAGGAACACCAGUGGCGAAAGCGGCUCUCUGGCCCGAUAUUGACGCUCAUGUACGAAAGCGUGGGGAGCAAACAGG